ACCUGGACAACGGAGGUCGAUUGAGGAACCAGUUGAUAAGAUUGAGAUUUUUACACCGAAGGACUAUAUUAGUUCAUUGAUGGAAUUGGCUCAAGACAGAAGAGGUGAGUUCAAAGAGAUGAAAUAUAUCACUGAGAAUAGAGCAUCCAUCAUCUAUGAGCUACCCCUUGCAGAGAUGGUAGGUGACUUUUUCGACCAGUUAAAGUCCAGAAGAAAGGGCCAUGCGC